rnacentral:rRNA from 1 species
AGUGAACGCUGGCGGUAGGCCUAACACAUGCAAGUCGAACGGCAGCACAGUAAGAGCUUGCUCUUACGGGUGGCGAGUGGCGGACGGGUGAGGAAUACAUCGGAAUCUACUUUUUCGUGGGGGAUAACGUAGGGAAACUUACGCUAAUACCGCAUACGACCUACGGGUGAAAGCAGGGGAUCUUCGGACCUUGCGUGAUUGAAUGAGCCGAUGUCGGAUUAGCUAGUUGGCGGGGUAAAGGCCCACCAAGGCGACGAUCCGUAGUUGGUCUGAGAGGAUAAACACCCACCGUGGAAAGGAGACACGGUCCAGUCUCCUACGGGAGUCACCAGUGGGGAAUAUUGGACAACGGUCGCAAGCCUGAUCGAGCCCUACCGCGUGGGUGAAGAAGGCCUUCGGGUUGUAAAGCCCUUUUGUUGGGAAAGAAAAGCAGCAGGUUAAUACCCCGCUGUUCUGACGGUACCCAAAGAAUAAGCACCGGCUAACUUCGUG